GUAUGAGUGUGAGUGUAAGACCAAGGAAAGUUUAAGAGGUUCAGGGAGAGGAAGUGUUAAUAUGAGGAGGCAGGAAAGAUUGAGCAGGUGUACAAAAUCUUCGUAACAGCAAUAACAUGAUUAAAUUAUCUCCUGCUCACAAAACAGAGACUGUGAAUUAGUAUACAAAACAUAAGCUUCAUAUCCAUAUUUGUAAGAUUCAUAUCCAUAUUCGUAAUGGUAUCCUGCACUUAUCCUUUAGUUCUGUUUCCUUUUUUACUUAUACUGAUUGACUUUCAUGAUAUCUAAAAAAUGUUGGUGGUCUAGAAAUUGAGUUACCAAGAAAAUUAAACGAAACAGACCUUGUGAUUAUCUGCAAAGCCCAAAUUCGUAUGGUGAUUAAAUCUUGCCAAACUGGAAACAUGCGAUGGGAACACUGGCCUUAUAAUAUUUACUGUACCCAAGUUUUUGUGAUGAAGAAAUCGUGUUAACCCACAAACGUAUAUUCAAAACCUAACUUGACGUAACUUAUGAGAUCUUGUCCUGAUGAGUUAAUGGUUUGAAGGUAAUAAUGCAAACUUGAACACAACUUAAUACAGUGAUCUUGCGUUGAAAGUUAAAAUUCAUGUCAUUAGGAAACUGCUUUGACUUCAAAAUUUCAGAAGACAAAAUCUGUUUAACCACAAUGCAAAAUUCUCUGGUUAGGAAAAUGAUUUGACUUGGAAAUUUUAAGAGACGAAAACUAAUCAACCAUACCGCUGUGAUUUUGUAGUGAAAGACAAAAUUCAUUACAAGAAAAUCAUUUAAACAAGCAGAGGGAGAGAAAAUCAACCAGGGAAGGAAAGGAUAAAGUGAGGGAAAGGAGAAAGGGAUGGACAAAAUAAUGGAUAGGAGAAAAGGAGGGAAGAAAUGAGGGAAAGGAGAAAGGGAUGGACAAAACAAUGAAUAGGAGAAAAGGAGGGAAGAAAUGAGGGAAAGGAGAAAGGGAUGGACAAAACAAUGAAUAGGAGAAAAGGAGGGAAGAAAUGAGGGAAAGGAGAAAGGGAUGGACAAAACAAUGAAUAGGAGAAAAGGAGGGAAGAAAUGAGGGAAAGGAGAAAGGGAUGGACAAAAUAAUGAAUAGGAGAAAAGGAGGGAAGAAAUGAGGGAAAGGAGAAAGGGAUGGACAAAAUAAUGAAUAGGAGAAAAGGAGGGAAGAAAUGAGGGAAAGGAGAAAGGGAGGGAAGAGGAAUGACAUGAAGGAAAGGGAAAUGAAGAGGCUGAACGUAACUAUGUGAUAUUACUUUUCCUGAUGCACGGGUCCAAGUCUUAGCCUAGAAAUGAGAGGAUGCAGAAGCCAACACUGCAACACUGUCACCUUGUAGCUAGACGUAACACACCAAACAAACUCCCUGUCAAGGCUGCCUGAGUGUUGCACAGCGUUGGGUAAUUGAGGGAGCAAGGAAGUGUUACAUGUUUUGCGGACUUUAGUGAGAGCGAGGAAAACAGUUCAUGAAAGUUGCAAGUUGGGGGAGAGAGAGAGAGAGAGAGUGUGAGAGUGAGAGUGAGAGUGAGAGUGAGAGAGAGUGAGAGUGAGAGUUAAGAAAGUAAGACCAGGGAAAGAGUUUAAGAGUUUCAGGGAAAGGAAGCGUUAAGACGAGGAGCCAGGAAACGAGUUAACAAGUUGAGAAAGAAAUCGAAAGAGGGAAAAGAAGCCGAAGGGAAUUAUGUGACGCACGAACAUUCAAAUAACAAAGAAAAGAGAAAUUACGCCAAGAAAAAGUUGUGUUAAAAGGAUGACAAAGAAUCAAUGGAUAGAGAAUAUAAAAGAGAGGAAAGGAAAAAAAGGAAAGAUAAAGAAACUGCGAAAGAAUAAGACAAAGAAAACGGCAAGAUAGAAAAAUUGUUAAUAGGAAAUGUUAAUGAUAAGAGUAUGAAGAAAAAAAUUGUUAUAUGGGGAAAGGAAGACAAAAAGAAAAAUCCGUAAAAGGAAGAGGGAGAGAAAAUACAAACAGGAUAGGAAAUACGAGAGAGGGAGAGAGUGAGGUGAGGAAUGAGGAAAUAGAAAAAGGGAGGGAAUGAAUGAGGGAUAGAAGAGGAAUGAUGAGGAGGAAAGGAAAGGGAAGAAAGGAAAAUAACCUCCACCUUCCUUUACUUUCCUCCACGCAUCCUCUCCCUCUCCCUGCCAACAAGAGAAAAAGGAGUAAAGAGAGAGGGAGAUGCAGGUGAGGCGGGUGAUGUGAGCGGGCGGAGCGGUGACCUACAUGCCGGAGUCUGAAGGAAAGAAAUGAUGAAGCGUAAUCUGACGUGAAGUUUACCACGAUUAUUAUUAUUAUUAUUAUUAUUGCUAUUUUUUAUAUUACUUUCUUGCUAAGUUGUCAAUUGGUUAUUUUUUUAUCUUGUCUAACUUUUUAUCUUUUCAAUUUCUGGCAUCAUAAAACACUUAGAAUAUAUUACUACUAUUUUUUUAUAUUACUUUCUUGCUAUGUUGUCAGUUAAUUAUACUCUUUCAUCUAUUUCAACUUUUUUACUUAUUCAAAUUUCUAGUAUCAUAAAACACUUUACAAUAUAUUUAAUCAAAGUCUAUAAUGUUCUCGAAAUUAAAUCAAAGGAAAAUAUAACUAACAACAAUAAUAAUAAUAAUAAUAAUAAUAAUAAUAAUAAUAAUAACAAUCCCUCAUAAGAGAAAGAAUGACACUACUUCUUCUACAGCAACUUAAACUGAUGAACGGAACACGGAUUUUGGAAAACGGACACCUGUAACAUUUUUCAUUUAAACUUCAAGGUGAGGUCGUGUUAUCCUCACACACAUAUUCAUCCAUUUAUCAAUUCAUUCAUGGUGUCCAAUAUCCCUCGACAAGUCUUCCAGUGUACAUAAUGCAGACACACACGAACGCCAAGCUCCGCCGUGCCACGUCCGAAAUGGCCGACAGAUUGAAACCGUGAACUCGAAGAAAAAUUAGCAACAAUCUUGAUAAAAACGUGAAAAAAAUUGUUGCAAGAAAGAAUGAAGUAAAUGAGGGAAAAAUUACUCGUUAUUGAAGGCUAAGAAAAAUUACACUGCUUCAAUGCCUUUUUUUAAUCACUUUCUUCUGUUUACAUUUAUCUUUGGUUUUGGAGUAAGAAAAUGACUGUAGGUUUAUCAUUAUUAUUAUCAUUGUUUUGGCAUCACAUUUUGUUCUCUUCACUGUCAACUAAACAAACACCAAAACAACGCAAAGAGAAAACUACAAAUGAAGCAGAAAAAAAUAUAACCCCAAGACCACAUGCACUAAAAAGAAACAUGAACACUCGGAAAAGAAUAUACAAAGGAAAGGAAAAAAGCAUCCACAGACAAAACACACAGACAGAAGCACCAGUGAUAGUGAGCAUGAACGUGAAGUCUGGGUGUUGCAGUGAUUUUACUCAUGAUUUUUUAAGCGUCGCAUUAGUUUUCAUCAACAACACUGUGGCUGAUCUGUCCUUUUAGACCCAUUUUUCAGGGCAUCGUUAGCUGGUUUUGUCAAUUUUUUUAUAUCACUUUCUACGACUGAGUUUGUGAUAUGUCGACUUAACUGUGAGAAAUCCAACACUUCUAUCAAACUUCAACUUAAAAUUGUCAACUUAACUGUGAGAAAUCCAACACCUCUCUCUAACUUCACCAGAUUUCUGAAAGUGAAAUUCGGGACGCUUUAAUAAAAAAACAUUUUCCGGGACAGUGCAUGAAAUCCGGGACAUUUCCGGGACAAUUUUAUUUCCGGGAUGAACAAUUAAAAGCCGGGAUGUCUGGCCGCCCUAAUCUAGAGGUUUCUCCGCACUUUCAAGAAUAUUCUUGAAUUUCUAGGAAAUUUCAUUGUUGGUGUUUUUUCAAAGUUUGCGUUAGCGGACGAUAAUUUUGGCAUUCUGCUAACUGCAAAUCCACUAAUUUUUCAAAUUUUCUGCUAACGCUAUUCUGCAAAUUUUUGUUAGUACGUUUUUAGCGGAUUAGCGGACUUAAAUUGUGGAAUGCCCACCUUUGGAAUCCAACACCUCUCUCUUCAUCUUAAAAAGGUCGACUUAACUGUGAGAAAUCCAACACCUCUCUCUAACCCCGUCCCAAAGGUGGAAGUAAAAGCCAAGUUAGCCACAGAGCUGUUAAUAAAUACUAACAUGAUGUUUCAUAAAUCUGGUGUUAACUGAGCCAGGUAAUGUGUGUGUUAAGACGUACUGACACUUCCAGUACAUCAUGAACACUUCUUUUUUACAUUUAGUUUUAUUAACACGACUACUUAUUGUCGUUACUUUAUUUAUAUUUUAUUCGUUUAUCAGAUUCUGUACACGAUCGUCUCCAAUAUGAUCGUUAUUCAUUUGGGUUUUAUAAUGUUUUGGUUUUUAUUAUUGACUUAUUUAUUUAUCUAUUGUUUCUUCCCUACACGGACGUUUGCAAUAGUGAGAGUACGUGACGUGUAAUUACCGUGUGGCAGCCCGUUUGUACCCGCUGACAAAUGCCUAUACGAUAUUUUUAGGCCUAAGCGUGUAUGGUAAAAAUAACAGGUGAGGUAAUGUCAGUUAAGAAGCAUUCACAAUCGCCAGCCAGAAUCUUUCAUUAUUAUUACUUUGAAACGGACUUCUUUUUACAUUUAUUUUAUUCUGGACGUCGAUCGUGAAUGUUACUUUACUGUUUUUAUUCUAUUAGUGAAGCAGCUUAUUAGUGAGACUCCCCACCCAACCCCCUCCCUUACCCUACCCCCCCAAGAGCUGGUCUCGAUAUAAACACAAAUAAUGUCUCUUCGUAGUGUUAACAUAAUGAUAAUAAUAAUAUACUAAGACCAAAACGUAAAAUUAAAAACAAACCCUAAUUGGACGCAGCAGUUGUUGGUGAUACUAAGUUUAGACUAAAAAUAAAGUGAAUAAAUGAAAUAAUAAUAAUAGCUUCCGUCGUGAAUCUGUUGACAAAUGCGCUUCUUUCUGCUUUCAUUUCCUUCGUUCGUUUGGGAUUUCAACUGAUCGUUUUCUGUAAUCUCGUCCCAGCUGUGUUGACCUCAUCACACGCACCCUUCUAAUUAGUAGCCACAUCCGAUAAGAAGGGGAAACACUGAAAAUUUUGAGGUGAGGGAUGAAACGUAAAAUUCUAAAAGUGAAGUUUGAAAGUUUUGAGGUGUGGCAUGAAGGUUUAAAUGUCUAAGGGCAAGAGUUUGAAAAUUAAGAAGGGGAAACACUGAAAAUUUUGAGCUCAGAUGUAAAAAGGAAAUUCUAAAAUCAGAGUUUGAAAAUUAAGAAGGGGAAACACUGAAAAUUUUGAGCUCAGAUGUAAAAAGGAAAUUCUAAAAUCAGAGUUUGAAAAUUAAGAAGGGGAAACACUGAAAAUUUUGAGCUCAGGGGUAAAAAGGAAAUUCUAAAAUCAGAGUUUGAAAAUUAAGAAGGGAAAGACACUGAGCUCAGGUGUAAAAAGUAAAAUUCUAAAAUCAGAGUUAGAAAAUUAAGAAGGGAAAGACUGAAAAUUUUGAGCUCGGGUGUAAAAAGUAAAAUUCUAAAAUCAGUUUGAAAAUUAAGAAGGGAAAAACUCGUAAACAAAUUCCCUCAAAAAUAUAUUAAAGAACACCACAUUUCAUCACUAGUAGACAAGUUCCCUCAAAAAUAAAUUAAAGAACACCACAUUUAAUCACUAGAAGACAAAUUCCCUCAAAAAUAAAUUAAAGAACACCACAUUUAAUCACUAGAAGACAAAUUCCCUCAAAAAUAAAUUAAAGAACACCACAUUUCAUCACAAGUAGACAAAUUCCCUCAAAAAUAAAUUAAAGAACACCACAUUUCAUCACAAGUAGACAAAUUCCCUCAAAAAUAAAUUAAAGAACACCACAUUUCAUCACUAGUAGACAAAUUCUCUCAAAAAUAUAUUAAAGAACUCCACAUUUCAUCACUAGUAGACAAAUUCUCUCAAAAAUAUAUUAAAGAACUCCACAUUUCAUCACUAGUAGACAAAUUCCCUCAAAAAUAAAUUAAAGAACACCACAUUUCAUCACAAGUAGACAAAUUCCCUCAAAAAUAAAUUAAAGAACACCACAUUUAAUCACUAGAAGACAAAUUCCCUCAAAAAUAUAUUCAAAACGCCACAUUUCAUCACUAGUAAACAAAUGCCAACAAAAAUAAUGCAAGGCCACUAACCCCAAACCACACACAAAUUUGGGCGUCUAUUCAGAAUUCCCCGUCUGGCGUAACGUGCUGUGAAGGCGCCCAAUCUUCAUCUAUAAACCUCAACCUCACCUCACCAACCCAAGACUACAUAUUUUCCCUCCCCUACCUUACCUAACCGACGUGCCGCACCCACCAGGUCUUCGGCAACCACAGAGCGCCACCUGAUUCUGUCCUUGUUCCCUCCCUCACAUGCCCCUAAUCAAUUAAUAAAUCCCCCUUUACAUAAGUACUAAUAGAGAGGGUGCGUGUGAAUUAAACGAACACACUUUAUUUUCCUUUUUCCUUGACUUUCCGCGUUUGUCGUCACACCUGAUUUGUUGUUGUUGUUACGAGUGUGUUUCAGUGAUCACCUGUUACAUGACCACCGUAGGCUAAGGUCCUCACCCUAAAGUCGUGUCUAUAGCUAUUUUAUCAGCGUGGAAGGUUCGAUCGGAGGGAGUCUUUCGAGGUGUGAUAAUCUUAAGGAAACGUACCAGCCAGUCGGUCAGCCAGUCAGUCAGUCGGUCAGCCAGUCAGUCAGUCAUAUAUUUGUUGUUGACUCCUCAGUGUUGACCUCAAGACUUUACGAGUUUGUGUAAGUGGAAUUCGAAGAGACAAUACUUUUUUUGAGUGCCGUGUAAAGAUUUCGAGUUUACAUUUAAGAGUUUGAAGAAACAGAACUUUCAAUACACAUGUUAAGACAUCAUUGGAGGUCUGUGACAAUACUUUUCAAUCCGCACAUUAAGACUUCAAGAGAGUUUAAAGUUAAUGUGGAGUUCGUAAAGACGUGUAAAGUUUUUCGCUCCACGUGUUAAGAUUUUAAAAGAGUUUGUUUAUGUUGAAGUGGAAUUCAGAGACAACACUUUAUGAUCCGUGUGUUGUCAGGCUGUUCAAAAAAGGUCCACGAUCUACAACUGUUUAUUUUUCGUUUGUUUCUUGGUAUGUGUGUUUGUUUUCUCUUAUUUUCAAGUUCAAAAAGGUCCACGAUUUACAACUGUUAAUUUUUUGUUUGUCUGUUUCUUGGAAUGUGUUUGUUUUCUCUUAUUUAUUCAGUGUGUGUGGGGGGGGGAAGGGGAGAGGGUUUUUUGGUGUAUGUGUGUUUGUGUGUUUUUAUUCUGCUUUGUUUAUUAAGUCUUAUUCUGUCUCGGUGUGUGCUCAAUGAUGAAUUUUUUUAAUGUAUCAAAAUUUCUACUUUCAUUACAAAAUUUAGAAAAAACUGUAAAAAAUUAUGGUAAGCUAAAUUUGACACAUAUUCAAAAUUCAGACAUUCCAGAUUUGUUUUAUGCAUUAUUACUACUUUUCCUGUCAUACAGUAAACAUUGAGAAAACAAUCGGAACAAGUGUAAAUCAGAGGCCUUGACAUAACCUAUAAACUGACUUCUUUUUUCCUACAAACUUGACCGUGACACAUGAUCUUGCUUCCCUGGUUUGAAUGGAAGGGUUUUAAUCCACUGAUUCAUAACGACCCCGAGAGCUGAACCAGUAAACAGACAAACAGUGGAGCGAAUGAAUUUAAAACAUCGAGAUACUGACAAAUAACAACAAAGACAGGGCGCCAUAAUAUUAAGUCUCGCAAAUCCCCAUGACAAUAAAAGUAUCAGGAGUGGGAGCAAGUACUCAACCUUCACCCCGUUUUCUAUUGCUUUAUGGUGGACUGCAAGGAACGUAUUAAAGAGCGGAAAACAAGACUCUGGGAUUUCUGUAUUGCUCUUGUUUCUUUCUUUCCAUAGACAGGACUGCAAGAAAAGUAUUAAAGAGAGAGAAAGGAAAAAUAACUCUGGGAUCUUACAUCAAUCUUAGUUACGUAUUUCUUUCCAUAGACAAGACUGCAAGAACGUUAUUAAAGAAAGAGAGAAAAUGACUGGGAUAUCUCCACUGCUCUCCAUUAUUUCUUUCUGUAAACACCUCAGGAUUCAUAAAGUGACUGAAGCGAAGAUGUUCAAGCUGCCGAAUUAAGAGAGAAUCAGGUUAUGAAUGAGUCUGUCGGUUGUUAUGACAGUCUAGUUUUGUGGCAGUUUAAUGUCGGUAUUCUCACAUGCUUCCGUCUCUCAUCAAUUAUUUCUAAAGCCCAAAAAAAUAGGUUUGACGUGAUUUCAUGAGUGUUUUAUUAUGUCCGUGGCACACAGGCUUUGUCAAACUACCACCAGGCUGAUAAAACUACCCAGGGAAAUGCUCACAAUGCCUACGAAAGCCUUGUUAACCCGGCAGCAGCGACGGGCCAAAUUUGUGCCACGAUAUAAACCCCCCAAAAAAGAUGAUACAUAAUCUGAUCACAAAUGCUUUGAUAUAUAUUAUGAAAUGGUUUGUGUGAGGGGUGAUUUUUUCUAAUUUUCUCGCUUAGAGGGACCAUUAAGAAACAUGAUCCCCGCUGCUACCGGGUUAAAUAUGUUCAAUGCGUUCUCUUGUGUUUUUUCACGCUCAUGUUGGAGGCUUUGUCAAACUACCACGAGGCUCAUAAAACUACCCAGGGAAAUGCUCACAAUGCCUACGAAAGCCUUGUUAAAUGUAUGCGCUUGGGUGCUGAAAUGUUUUAAGAAUGCAUGUUGGUGACCAGAGAAGGAUUGUGCUACUGGAGUGAAUGGACAAAGGCUUAAGUACAUGACUGAGUAACAAAAAAACAUAAAUAAAAAAUGUAUUGUAUAAAUGCUUCACUAUAUUCACCAGGAAGCUAAGAAUGCGGUGGGUCGCUAAAACUAUUCCACUCCUUUCCAUCAUUAAAUAAAUUCCUCUACAUAUAAUUAUCUCAAAGUAAAAUAGUAAGUAUGACCGUGACACCUCCAAGAAAAAUUUAGAAAUAGCCGAGUUAUGUUACUGCCGUUUGUCUUCUGGUUAUCUGUUGACGUCGCAAACACUGACUGGACGGUUGUUUGUUCAGGGUAAUCUGACUGACAUGUAAUCCCUUUCUUUAACGCUCUUCUUCAUUGGUUGACUUAAAAGGAGGAGGAGGAAGAAGAGGAGAAGGAGCUUAUUCGCCUAAUUAUUUGGACGCUUUUUUUUUUUUUUUUUUUUUUUUACAGUAAAGGAAGCAGCUCAAGGGCAAAAAAAAAAAAAGAAAACAAUGAAAAAAAAGCCCACUAAUCACUGCUCCGAUAUAAAAGAGCAAAGAGGAGUGGUCGAAAGAGAGGUCAAUUUCGAGAGGAGAAAACACUGAAUCUAACCAGACAUAGCACUGUUCCUCUCAAUCACUUGGUUUUGGAGCCGAACACGAUUUUGAUGUUCCACACAGACGAGGUAUUAUACAAACUACGCUAUAUUUAUUUAUUUCACGAUCUGUUCAAGCACUAUCGCACAUGGGUACGGAUCCAACUGGUUACUGAGGUCCGUUCUGAAUAGGAAUUACAACUGGCCACACCCACUGACAGACGAGACGCUGUAUAAUUCAUUCUAUUUCACAGACGACUAAACGUUACCUUGUAUGGGCACUGACCGAACCAGUUAUUACAGGCCAUUAUAUAUACGAACUACAAAGGGCUGCUCUCACUCCAGUUUUUGUUGCAGCACAGGAGGAAGACCAACGACAAACUUAACUCAACACAACACACGACUCCCAUCAAAAGUCUAGUGAAGGUGCUGAUUCAGAGAUAAAUUCAACCCCAUUACAUAUACGAAUUGAAAAAGGCUGCCCUCACUCAAGUUUUGUUAUGGUAAAGAAGGAAGACCAACGACAACCUUGAAUAUAAAACGCAGCACACUAGUUACUAACAUCAAAAGAAUACAGAAAACGCUGAUUCGAUGGGUUAACUUAAAUUCGUUGAAGGUUUACCGAGAACGAAAUACGAAAGCACAUAUAUAAACCCUUUUGUUAUGUCCCUCGAUCUUGAUAAUCCAAAGCGAGAGUCCACAAAGAGAAAGAGUGAGAGAGCAGAGUGGGGGUGGCUAUUGUAUUUCUGAUCGGGAGUGAACUAAUCGCGCAUCUCAGGGGUGGCUAUUGUAUUUCUGAUCGGGAGUGAACUAAUCGCGCAUCUCGCCCCCUCCGCACUGCACUCUAGACACACUGCAUUUUUACACCUUUGAUGGGAGUGAGGGACAAGGUUAUGCCACAUUCUCACUGGUCUUUAGGGCACAUAUGUUACAGCAGGGACCCCACACCACACCCCUUUGCCUGGGAACACACACACACACACACACCUCUGCCUCCACUCCCUCGCCUCCCUCUCCCUCCACUGUUAUAUAAUUUACUGGACUCCUUUCUCUCCAUCCCUCCCUCCUCUUCCUCCUCCUUACAUUCCUUCUCAUUAUAUCACCUCACCUCUCUCCCUCUCCAAUCCCUUUCUCUCCUUCUCUUCCUCUGCAUCACCAUAUCUGAAACUCCUGAUGCAAUGUACUUUCUUCCCUCCUCCUCCUCCUCCUCCUCCCCCACAGCCCCCCAUUAGCCCACUAGAGCCAAGUCUUCCCGUAAUGUUGUUCGUAUAAUCGCGUGAAUGGUUGAGCGCCCGGCAAAGAGAGUAUCUUGACCGGAAAAUAUAUAGACGGGAAAACGAACGUACCGAUGAUGAAAUAUAAACGAAACAAGAGAGGAUCGUUAUAAGUGAAUAAGAAAAGAACGAGGAAGUGCAUUAAAAUUAUGUGAUGUUUUUUGGCCACUUAUUAAUAUAUUGAAGAGUAAAACUAAAUAGAUCUUGACCAAAAAAAAGUAAUCCUCAGUAAAAUUAGCAAAUAAAAUUACUUCAUGAAAAUGCAAACUGAUGGCCAAAAAACAUUUAUCACAACAGCCAAAAAAGUAUCUUCAUGCCAAAAAAAGUACCGUCAAGAGAAGUAAAAAAAACAAAGUAACUACGAUGGCAAGUAGAGUGAUGCAUUAAGUGAAAAAGUGUCUCAUUACUACACUUCACACACUUAUAGGUCACAGAUGAAACCCAAGAGGGGAGGGGAGGGGAAGGGAGGGAGGGACAGGGUAGGUUAGGGUAGAGCCAAUACAGGUAAUGAUUCCAGGUGGGCCACACAUCACACCUGGGGGCCAAGAUACUGUUUUUGCCAGGUGUGGACAGGUGUGCGUCUAACAGGUGACAUCAUUUGGUACUUGGAGCCGGAGCGAAGCAAGCACAUUUCCAGGAGUUUUUUGUGUUCCUCUGCCAGCAUGGACAUUUUGGGGUCAUGUCGGGUCACUCCUCAGCUUCAAGACCUCAGAACACUUUGGGGUCAUGUUGGGUCACUCCUCGCCGCUUCAAGACCUCAGAACACUUUGGGGUCAUGUUGGGUCACUUCUCGCUGCUUCAAGACCUCAGAACACUUUGGGGUCAUGUUGGGUCACUCCUCGCCGCUUCAAGACCUCAGAACACUUUGGGGUCAUGUUGGGUCAUUUCUCACUACUUCAAGACCUCAGCACACUUUGGGGUCAUGUUGGGUCACUCCUCACCGCUUCAAGACCUCAGCACACUUUGGGGUCAUGUUGGGUCAUUUCUCACCUCUUUGCUUGACUUCAUAACUUUGGCUAGUCAUGUCGGAUCACUCCUCACCUCUUCAUUUGACCUCAGAACAAUAUUUACUUGUGACAAAUGACUUUAUUCCUCUAGCUAAACUUUCUUCCUAUAUCUACAACAAUAACUUACUCAUAUGUGACAAAUUACCUUAUUCCUAUAUCUACACUUUCUUUCUCUACCUUUAACAAUACCUUACUCAUGACAAAUUACUCUUAUCCCUCUAUUUCUUCCACUUUGUUGAUGUGGCGAGCUACUUUAACUUUAGUGGCGAUGUCAUAUCCACUCAACCUUCAAUUUCCAGGACAUCUCUGCUUGACGUCAAAACAGUACCUCACUCCAAUGGGUCAUGUUACUGUAUUCCUCUAUUUCUUUUGACUCGCUGAUGUGGCGUGUCUACUAGUGGGGAUGUCAGAUGGUUUGGUAAGGUUGAGGCAGAGUACAGCGUGAGGUGAGGUCUAGCGGUGAGGAGGGUCUCUACACAAUGACCCGAGGAAGUUGGUGCUGGCGGGACAACACCAAAAGCCGCCGAGAAAUGUGCUCGUGUGGCCUGGCUCUGGGUGUGUCUUGUCUUAUUAUUUAUCCCGUUAUACCAUUGCCAUAUCUAGUCAUCUCUGAACAAGUCGAAGUUUUGUACCGUUUAGUUCUUAUAAAUAAUAUACAUUUCAUAUGCAAUAUCUUAUAUGUAAAGAUGAAGACUUGUGUUAUGUAUGUUUAUACAUAGUUGCCUAGCAUAGAGCUGUGUAUUUUUAUGUAAACAAGCAGAAAAAAGACUCCAGGUUUGAAUAAAAAUGUGGAGUAGUA